rnacentral:lncRNA from 1 species
AGCCUUAUGUCCUUCUUCAAUCGAGUAAGAUUCGUAUUUCCCUUUGUGGAGUCGAAUAUCCAUCCUAAAAAAAAAAAAAAAAGGAAUCAAGUCUGCUUUUUCAGCUCUCUUCAGGAUGAUGAGUGUUUUGGAACACAAACCAAUUCACGCUUUGGUAGGUCACCUAUUACAUACCUACAAACCGGUAUCCCUGGUGUUCCUACUUUUCUACUCCCUAUUAUGACCUCGGUCCCCUGUGGAGUCAGAUUUUCCUGAGUCGAAAUAUACCUUUUCAGGUCUUCCUCAGAUGUUUGAAGUUUUG